ACACGACUCUCGGCAACGGAUAUCUAGGCUCUCGCAUCGAUGAAGAACGUACAAACUGCGAUACUUGGUGUGAAUUGCAGAAUCCCGUGAACCAUCGAGUCUUUGAACGCAAGUUGCGCCCGAAGCCAUUAGGCCGAGGGCACGUCUGCCUGGGCGUCACGCAUCGCGU
rnacentral:rRNA from 1 species